AUUGUCUUCCUUUCUCUUACUGGACCUGGAACUGUAGGAAAUAUCCUAGUAUUCAUGAGACGUGUAUACUUCUGCCUUGGGUAUUGCAAAAAAGCCUGUUGACCUUAUUAUCAUCCAUUUGGCAUUUUCUAAUCUGAUUAUUAGUUGUAGCACAGGGGUCAGAGAUGUAGCUACAGUGUUUUAUUUCAGAAACUUCUUAGGAGAUAUUGGUUGUAAAACUGUGGUUUAUCUGGCAAGGAUGGCACGGGGUCUUUCCAUCUGUACCACCUGUCUCCUUAGUGUGGUCCAGGCUGUCACCAUCAGUCCCAGGACCACCCUUUGGACAAAGCUCAAACCACAGACAUCAUCGCAAGUUCUUCCCUUUCUCCUCCUCUUUUGGAUUGUUAAUGUUCUCAUAAGCUCCAACUUACUCUGCUAUAUCAAAGCAGGUGGUGGUUUAAACAGAUCUAUAGCUGCAGCAUUCAUUGGCCACUGCUAUAUGCUACCAUCCAGACAUAUUAAGUGGCUUUUCCUCUCUCUCAUGACUCUUCGUCAUGUCAUCUUUCAGAGUCUCAUGGGCUGGAGCAGUGGGUCCAUGGCUCUCCAUCUGUAUAAGCACCACAAGCAUGUCCUCUACCUUUACAACUCCAGGUUUGCAAACAACUCCCUUCCAGAAAUCAGAGCUACAUGGAGUGUUCUCAUUCUUAUGGCCUGUUUUCUUUUCUUCUAUUGGGGAGAUUUCAUUAUUUCCUUCUACACAGGUUUCACAGUGACUCGAAAUUUUACUUUACUAAAUAUUAAAAUAUUUUUAGAACUUGGUUAUGCUAGUUUCAGCCCCUUUGUUCUGAUCAGCAGAGAUGUCCGUGUUCCUAAUGUCUCACAUGCUCACUGAGAAGUAAAGAAAUUACAUUCU
rnacentral:lncRNA from 1 species